rnacentral:rRNA from 1 species
GUCCUAGCCGUAAACGAUGAGCACUUGGUUGGAGGCUCCUCCAUAGGCUUCCGGCCGUAGCGAAAGUGUUAAGUGCUCCGCCUGGGGAGUAUGGCCGCAAGGCUGAAACUCAAAGGAAUUGACGGGGGCUCACACAAGCGGUGGAGGAUGUGGCUUAAUUCGAGGCUACGCGAAGAACCUUAUCCUAGUCUUGACAUGCAUGGAUUAACCCUAUGAAAGUAGGGCCACGCCUUCGGUGGAACAUGCACAGGUGCUGCAUGGCUGUCGU